rnacentral:rRNA from 1 species
AGUGAACGCUGGCGGUAGGCCUAACACAUGCAAGUCGAACGGCAGCACAGUAAGAGCUUGCUCUUACGGGUGGCGAGUGGCGGACGGGUGAGGAAUACAUCGGAAUCUACUUUUUCGUGGGGGAUAACGUAGGGAAACUUACGCUAAUACCGCAUACGACCUACGGGUGAAAGAAGGGGAUCUUCGGACCUUGCGCGAUUGAAGGAGCCGAUGUCGGAUUAGCUAGUUGGCGGGGUAAAGGCCCACCAAGGCGACGAUCCGUAGCUGGUCUGAGAGGAUGAUCAGCCACACUGGAACUGAGACACGGUCCAGACUCCUACGGGAGGCAGCAGUGGGGAAUAUUGGACAAUGGGCGCAAGCCUGAUCCAGCCAUACCGCGUGGGUGAAGAAGGCCUUCGGGUUGUAAAGCCCUUUUGUUGGGAAAGAAAAGCAGCAGGUUAAUACCCCGCUGUUCUGACGGUACCCAAAGAAUAAGCACCGGCUAACUUCGUG